rnacentral:tRNA from 2 species
GGACCCUUAGCUUAGCCUGGUUAGAGCACUCGGCUCUUAACCGAGGGAUCGGGGGUUCGAAUCCCCUAGGGUCCG